UUUUCCAUGCGUGUUUGUUUUCACGCUGUCUGAAAAAUAGAAAAAUAAAAAACGUCGCGAGUUUGUUAUUUCUGCUCCUGCUAGUUUAUAGUCGUUUUUUCAUUGAAAUGAAAAACAUACCAUGUUAUUAGAACCGGAUCCGGAAGUGCUGAAAACAGCUGCCGUUUUUGCUUCGGUCGGAACGGUGAUAAGCGGAAGAACCGGGACGGAAUGAUGAUGAUGCCGCGCAGCUCCCGAUUUGAUGUCCCGAGCUCCUACAUUUAAAUGCUAGUGAUUAAAUUAUGAAUAAUAAUAGUUUUAGUUCUACAAUUCUAGUUGAUCAUUUUCAAUAGCGAAUAAUAAAACAAGUAGUGCGUGUGGGCUGAACUCAUUUCAAACAAAAAAUUUGAUUAUAAAGUGAUAACAAGUUAUUCGUGAUCAAUCUUGAUUCCAUAGGUUUUAAUUAAAACUAAGUUUUUCCACAC